UCAUGUUCCUGCAGAACUUGCUGCCACAUAGGCACCGGAACACCUCCAUAGGAUGAUCAUUGUCAUCAAAGUCAAUACCAUAAUCCCAAGUCAGCUCUUCCAAGGCAUUUACUUCUCUUGUCGUGAAGAAGGCAAGAUGAUAAUAAUGAUCAUCCGGGGUCUCCAUCUUAACAGGGAUCUCAAUCAAAUUUGCAUCAAGGCACCUAUGAUUAAUAAACCUAGCAACAUUCCCAUAGAAUGUUGCA
rnacentral:misc_RNA from 1 species